ACGACCUUACUUGAACAGGAUCUGUUCUAUAGGAUCGUACCUCUGUAUCCUUGAGUUCUAAGGAGACAGGAAACUAAGUCUGGUGGAUGAAUUAUGACCAUGUGAUCAGAGCGUGAUUAACAGCUACCAAUUGUUCUUCGGAUCCUUGGUGCAGUAGAGGAUCGUUCCCAAGCUCCUCUGUGAGCUUCGGAUGAUCUCAUGGUUGUCUGACAGACU